GUAAUUUCAAACUAAAUGAUAAUGACAAAUUGGAAUAAUAAUAAAAUAAUUAUUGUUGAUUUAUUGUGUUAUUACUUGUCAUCCAAUAACCAAAUUAUAAAAUCGAACUAUUAGUUUCUUAUUAUAUUAAUUCUAUUAAUUUUGUAAAAUAUUUUAUAUAUAAAUAUAUUAUAAUAUUAUAUGAUCGAUAAUGGAUAAUAAUCGUACCGCUACUUCACAAAAAAUCACUAAUUAUUUUUCUGUGCCGUCGACGAAAAAACAUAAACCAACACCAACUGAUGAUGAAGUUGCAAUAACUAAUAAUCUGUCAGAAAGUAAAAAAGAAGUUACAGUCAAUAAUGAUGUUGUCUAUACAUUAGAUUCUGCUACUAAAACCAUUAAUGACGUUUAUGGACAAUUGUUAAUUCUUUAAAAUGAUUUAUAUAAUAAUAUUUAAAUUUUUAUAUGUUAUUAACAUAGUUGUUUAUUGUUUUAUAUACAUAACAUAUAAGUAUUUUACUGUACAAUUUUUUUAAAGUUUGAUAAUAAAAAAUUGUAUUAUUUAUGA